rnacentral:lncRNA from 1 species
AAGAUCAAUGGCGUGCCAAUCCGCAGAGUGAACCAGACUUACGUCAUUGCCACAUCCACAAAGGUCGACAUCUCUAAGGUUAAUGUGCAGAAGUUUGAUGACAAGUACUUUGCUAGGGAGAAGAAGACUAGGGCAAAGAAGACUGAGGGCGAGCUAUUUGAGUCGGAGAAGGAGGUACAUUCAUGCAUCAUUAUCCUUUUAGAUGCCUUUUACCCGUCUUGUUCCAAUACCUUAUUUUAUAUCUUCUCUGUUACCCUGCAGGCAACCAAGAAUUUGCCAGACUUCAAGAAGGAUGACCAGAAGGUCAUUGAUGCCGAGUUGAUCAAGGCUAUCGUUGCUGUCCCAGACCUUAAAAAUUAUCUUGGUGCCCGGUUCUCUCUCAGGGAUGGCGACAAGCCGCAUGAGAUGACCUUCUAAGUUACCUGGUACAAGUUUCAAGAUCUGUCGAAGUAUUUUUUGUCUAGUGUGUGUUCUGGUUCUGUACUUCUGAUUUCUUUUGCCUGGUUGGUGAAUAUUUGAUUUCCACUGCAGUCUGCCUGCCAAAUAUUUUGAGAAGAUAACUAGAAGUACCAUCCCCUUUGUUGGCUUGUUGCGACAUUUUUUUGAUCCGUCGUCGUUUUAUUCAGGCUGCAAUUCCAGUCAAUGUUUUAUCUUCUGAUCAUUGUGCAUGACGCCAUGCUUUGACUCAGGUGUUGUGGUAUGUAUUUGCAACUAGGUCAACAUUACUACGGUGGUCCUUAUUUGCAGAGCUUGGACAGUGUUGUGAUUUCGUUGGGGCAUGUCAGUAGUCUUCAACAAUCCGUUCCCCUAAAAGUGCUCCAGCAGAUCUUGUAAACGUGGGUAAUUUCUGGUUUAGGGAAAGUUGGGCCAAAAAAGAGCUCCAACAGAUCUUGUAAUCUUGGUACUAGUAUCAACAGCCACACUUAUUCUGGCAGAGUGCGUACAAUCUGA